AUUGAACGCUGGCGGCAUGCCUUACACAUGCAAGUCGAACGGCAGCACGGGAGCAAUCCUGGUGGCGAGUGGCGAACGGGUGAGUAAUGUAUCGGAACGUGCCCAGUCGUGGGGGAUAACGUAGCGAAAGUUACGCUAAUACCGCAUACGAUCUAUGGAUGAAAGCAGGGGAGCGCAAGACCUCGCGCGAUUGGAUCCGCAGAUAUCAGAUUAGGUAGUUGGUGGGGUAAAAGCUUACCAAGCCUACGAUCUGUAGCUGGUCUGAGAGGACGACCAGCCACACUGGGACUGAGACACGGCCCAGACUCCUACGGGAGGCAGCAGUGGGGAAUUUUGGACAAUGGGCGAAAGCCUGAUCCAGCCAUGCCGCGUGCAGGAUGAAGGCCUUCGGGUUGUAAACUGCUUUUGUACGGAACGAAACGGCCUUUUCUAAUACAGGAGGCUAAUGACGGUACCGUAAGAAUAAGCACCGGCUAACUACGUGCCAGCAGCCGCCGUAA
rnacentral:rRNA from 1 species